CGGGUGUUUUCUGUUUACUAUUUGUGGGUCGUUUAAAGUGCAUAUGACAUGAAAUUUCUUAUUUUCUUGAAUGAAAGAACUCUUUAAGUUAUAGUGUAACUUAUUUUUCAGUUUCUUGUUUUUAUGGUUUGUUCCUGAGAUAUUUCAAUUUGUUUUAUUAUGUAAAUGAGUGUGAAUAUGUCCGCUAAUUUAUGACGUCACUUUGGUUGCAAGCUCAACUUACACUGGUUAUAAAUCUAUUAACUCUAACUAGAAGUUACUAUCGCAAGGAAAAUGCUGCCUCACCCCCAAGGGAUGGCACCAUGCGCAAUUUGCUGAAUAAGGGUCUGUUUAUACGAUCCCGCUUCGCCAAGACGAGAUAUGAGGCAGGAUGAUUUCGAUGUAUUGAAAUGAGUCACAGUGCACAAUUCAGCAAAAACAUUACUUUUCUAGAGAUAGAUUAUAGUUACUGUAAACGAAAGGUUGUUCAAGCAGCAAUUAUAAUCUUUUUGAACUACAAGAUCUUG